UAUGCUAUGGACCGGGGAAGGAUGAGAAGCUUCGACGAAGGUUCGAGUCGAGCGACAGCGAGACAA
rnacentral:sRNA from 1 species